rnacentral:RNase_P_RNA from 1 species
GGAGCGGGACGGAUCAUCGCUGCGAGAAAUCGGAGAGGAAAGUCCGGGCUCCGCAGGGCGGAACGCUGGGCAAUACCCAGAGGGGGCGACCCCUGGAAAGCGCAACAGAAAGCAAACCGCCCGGCUUACGCCGGGUAAGGGUGAAACGGCGCGGUAAGAGCGCGCCGGAUAUCAUGGCGACAUGAUAUGCCAGGCAUACCCCGUUCGGAGCAAGAUCAAGUAGGGGAGGAGGCCGGCCCGGCCAUAUCCUCCCGGGUAGAUCGCUUGAGGGCGCGGGCAACCGCGCUCCUGGAGGAAUGAUGAUCGCCGUCGCGCGCGACGGAACAGAACCCGGCUUACAGGCCCGCUCCCCCU